UAGGGAAUCUUCGGCAAUGGGGGCAACCCUGACCGAGCAACGCCGCGUGAGUGAAGAAGGUUUUCGGAUCGUAAAGCUCUGUUGUAAGAGAAGAACGUGUGUGAGAGUGGAAAGUUCACACAGUGACGGUAACUUACCAGAAAGGGACGGCUAACUACGUGCCAGCAGCCGCGGUAAUACGUAGGUCCCGAGCGUUGUCCGGAUUUAUUGGGCGUAAAGCGAGCGCAGCCGGUUUAAUAAGUCUGAGGUUAAAGGCAGUGGCUUAACCAUUGUUCGCUUUGGAAACUGUUAAACUUGAGUGCAGAAGGGGAGAGUGGAAUUCCAUGUGUAGCGGUGAAAUGCGUAGAUAUAUGGAGGAACACCGGUGGCGAAAGCGGCUCUCUGGUCUGUAACUGACGCUGAGGCUCGAAAGCGUGGGGAGCAAACAGG
rnacentral:rRNA from 1 species